rnacentral:lncRNA from 1 species
ACUGUAUGCUACUUUCAUAGCCUAUUAGAGAAAAAUAUAUUUAUGCACUAUGAUGAGUAGUAGAAUAUCAUGCAUGGUAUUUCUAAAAUAUAACAAUAGAAAAAUAAAAUAAACAUAAGCAAAACAAAAUAACAAAAAUAAAAUAUAAUAAUAAAAACAAAUUAUGAAGCACCCACGCAAGCAAGUGACCUGCAAGAUGACUGUGUGACGAGCGUCACACACGCCAUCACGGUCGUCACACCAAGUGCCUGUGACGCCCGUAACACCUUCUGUCACGAGCGUGACAGCUUCAGACCAGGUGAACGUUAGUAACCGUUGGGGACACGACCGUUACACCACCCCACUUUUUACCUUCCCCAUUCAUUCACCCAUUUACUCACAUUUACCCACAUUUAUUUUUC